CCCCUCUCAGGGUCAUAUCUGGAGAGUUUCCACUACUCUACCAUUCUUGACUACAGGAGAAAGAGUCAGGCAGAGGCAUAUCUAUUCCAUUCCUAGCUUGGGCAAUGGCUAGGGAGUGGAAAACAAUCUGCUACAAGU
rnacentral:snoRNA from 1 species